GCGUGAAGGAAAGAAGCUUCGUUAAACUGGUGUAUCUUCCACCGCCACUGGGAUAACUGGCUUGUAGCCGCCAAGCGUUCAUAGCGACGUGGCUUUGAUCCUUCGAUCUCGGCUCUUCCUAUCAUUGUAAAGCAAAAUUUACCAAGCGUAGGAUUGUUCACCCUUUCAAGGGAACGUGAGCUGGGUUUAGACCGUCGUGAGAUAGGUUAGUUUUAUCCUACUGGUGUGCAUUGUUCGUCGCUAUCUUCACGAAAUUCCUGUGCAGUACGAGAGGAACCACAGGUACGGCCCACUGGCUCAAUACUAGUUUGAACGGACUGUGGUAUGACGCUACGUCCGCUGAAUUAUGUCUAAACGCCUCUAAGGUCGUAUCCAAUCCGAGCUGAUUGCGCUACUU
rnacentral:rRNA from 1 species